rnacentral:rRNA from 1 species
GUGAGGAAUAUUGGUCAAUGGGCGGGAGCCUGAACCAGCCAAGUCGCGUGAAGGAAGAAGGAUCUAUGGUUCGUAAACUUCUUUUGCAGGGGAAUAAAGUGCAGGACGUGUCCUGUUUUGUAUGUACCCUGAGAAUAAGGAUCGGCUAACUCCGUGCCAGCAGCCGCGGUAAUACGGAGGAUCCGAGCGUUAUCCGGAUUUAUUGGGUUUAAAGGGUGCGUAGGUGGUUUGAUAAGUCAGCGGUGAAAGUUUGCAGCUUAACUGUAAAAAUGCCGUUGAAACUGUCGGACUUGAGUGUAAAUGAGGUAGGCGGAAUGCGUGGUGUAGCGGUGAAAUGCAUAGAUAUCACGCAGAACUCCGAUUGCGAAGGCAGCUUACUAAGCUACAACUGACACUGAAGCACGAAAGCGUGGGGAUCAAACAGGAUUAGAUACCUUGGUAGUCC